AUUGAACGCUGGCGGCAGGCCUAACACAUGCAAGUCGAGCGGAUGAAGGGAGCUUGCUCCCGGAUUCAGCAGCGGACGGGUGAGUAAUGCCUAGGAAUCUGCCUGGUAGUGGGGGAUAACGUCCGGAAACGGGCGCUAAUACCGCAUACGUCCUGAGGGAGAAAGUGGGGGAUCUUCGGACCUCACGCUAUCAGAUGAGCCUAGGUCGGAUUAGCUAGUUGGUGGGGUAAAGGCCUACCAAGGCGACGAUCCGUAACUGGUCUGAGAGGAUGAUCAGUCACACUGGAACUGAGACACGGUCCAGACUCCUACGGGAGGCAGCAGUGGGGAAUAUUGGACAAUGGGCGAAAGCCUGAUCCAGCCAUGCCGCGUGUGUGAAGGAGGUCUUCGGAUUGUAAAGCACUUUAAGUUGGGAGGAAGGGCAGUAAGUUAAUACCUUGCUGUUUUGACGUUACCAACAGAAUAAGCACCGGCUAACUUCGUG
rnacentral:rRNA from 1 species